rnacentral:rRNA from 1 species
GACGAACGCUGGCGGCGUGCUUAACACAUGCAAGUCGAACGAAGUGGCGAACGGGUGAGUAACGCGUAAUCAACCUGCCCUUCAGAGGGGGACAACAGUUGGAAACGACUGCUAAUACCGCAUACUGAAGGAGGGGAUUGCGUGUGAUUAGCUAGUUGGAGGGGUAACGGCCCACCAAGGCUAUGAUCAGUAGCCGGUCUGGGAGGAUGAACGGCCACAUGGGGACUGAGAAACGGCCCAGACUCCGACGGGAGGCAGCAGUGGGGAAGUUGCCGCAAUGGACGAAAGUCUGACGGAGCAACGCAGCGUGAGUGAUGACGGCCUUCGGGUUGUAAAGCUCUGUUAAUCGGGACGCGGUACCGGAAUAGAAAGCCACGGCUAACUACGUGCCAGCCGCCGCGGUAAUAC